GAUGAACGCUGGCGGCGUGCCUAAUACAUGCAAGUCGAGCGAACGGACGAGAAGCUUGCUUCUCUGAUGUUAGCGGCGGACGGGUGAGUAACACGUGGAUAACCUACCUAUAAGACUGGGAUAACUUCGGGAAACCGGAGCUAUACCGGAUAAUAUUUUGAACCGCAUGGUUCAAAAGUGAAAGACGGUCUUGCUGUCACUUAUAGAUGGAUCCGCGCUGCAUUAGCUAGUUGGUAAGGUAACGGCUUACCAAGGCAACGAUGCAUAGCCGACCUGAGAGGGUGAUCGGCCACACUGGAACUGAGACACGGUCCAGACUCCUACGGGAGGCAGCAGUAGGGAAUCUUCCGCAAUGGGCGAAAGCCUGACGGAGCAACGCCGUGUGAGUGAUGAAGGUCUUCGGAUCGUAAAACUCUGUUAUUAGGGAAGAACAUAUGUGUAAGUAACUGUGCACAUCUUGACGGUACCUAAUCAGAAAGCCACGGCUAACUACGUG
rnacentral:rRNA from 1 species